rnacentral:rRNA from 1 species
GAUGAACGCUAGCUACAGGCUUAACACAUGCAAGUCGAGGGGAAACGAUAUUGGAAGCUUGCUUCCGAUAGGCGUCGACCGGCGCACGGGUGAGUAACGCGUAUCCAACCUGCCCGUCACUUGGGAAUAACCUUGCGAAAGUAAGACUAAUGCCCAAUGACAUUUAUAGAAGGCAUCUGAAAUGAAUUAAAGAUUUAUCGGUGAUGGAUGGGGAUGCGUCUGAUUAGCUUGUUGGCGGGGUAACGGCCCACCAAGGCGACGAUCAGUAGGGGUUCUGAGAGGAAGGUCCCCCACAUUGGAACUGAGACACGGUCCAAACUCCUACGGGAGGCAGCAGUGGGGAAUAUUGGUCAAUGGGCGAGAGCCUGACCAGCCAAGUAGCGUGCAGGAAGACGGCCCUAUGGGUUGUAAACUGCUUUUAUAGGGGAAUAAAGUGAGCCACGUGUGGCUUUUUGCAUGUACCCUAUGAAUAAGGACCGGCUAAUUCCGUG